CCACAAUCUCUGAGGUCCAUAGAUCUCAGGUCUGCGUGAAAUUGUCUCAGCUAGGCCUAAAGUCACCGGGCCGCCCGAGCCUCCCUCUCAAGGAGCCUGGAUCUUAGCCUGAGAGAUGAAGAAAGCCACUACGGGGUAUUGAUCCAGGAGGGGACAUGAGGGAAUUAUGGUUUUCAAAAGCUCACUCAGGCUGAGGUGUGAAGAGCCUGGCUUGUACGAGUAAAAGCAUGGAAAUAGAGUGGCUAGUUAGGUAACCGCGGUGGCCACCAUCCAGAAAGAGCUGACGACAGCGACUGAUUUAUCGGAACUUCUCUGGAAGCCUGUCUUAAAGUUCUAUUUCUCUGAACCAGAACUAUCUGGCUAGGAUGUGAACUGUCAAGAAAGCAUUGGGGAGCCCUGGAGGUGUCUAAAGGGGGGAUCUCUGCCUUUUUAGGUGGAGCAACUACCUCAUCUCCUAUCCUCUGACCCAGUUUGUGGGGUUGUAUUCUGACCUUCAGCUUCCCAGACACCAACAAAGUAAUCUUGGAUACAUUCCGCUCACCACCACAGAGCCUUGGGCUCAUGUGACCUGUGUUCCCUGCUGGGCCUGCUUUCUGAGUGCUAAGAUUGACCUUAUAGUCCCCUGAACCUCCUGUGCCCUGUUGCCUACCUGGACAUUGCUUGAGUCAGAUCCCAGAUGCUUUCCACCUGAGCUUGAAAAUAAAAUACAUGUUACACUUGAAUAUCAAGACAUCAUAGGAACCUGUAUCAAGUAGGUUUGCUAUAUUAAAGAGGGCAACCAGACCCAUACUAGCCUUCAUGGAAAUGAGAAAGAAGCCUUUCUGAAUGCAGUCACCACAGUUAGGGGCUUCUCUGUUACUAUGAACCACGUCAGUGAAGAUCAGGCUGCAGCUGAGAAGCAGGGCUAAGGCAUGGCACACCAUCAGAAGUAGGAGCAGUUCCAAAGAGCUUCAUCUCUGAAGGUUGAGGGAGUAGACACCUCUGCCUGUCCUUUGGCGGUGCCCACAUAAGGAAACUUUCCUCCCAGAGGUGUGCUGGAUUCCUAUCCCUGACAUGGGGUUGACAUCAAAACAAUUCUGCAACAGGAAGAACCAGGAGGCGGCUCAUCUGACAAGAACCCCUCCUUCAGCAGGAAGACUGGAGGUGGUUUGAUCUGGUGCGUGCUUACAUAACACUGUCUCCCUCAGAAAUAUCCUCUACCAGGAAUGGUUGCUCCACCCCACAAAUAAAUCCCAAGAGCUCUCUCUGAAGUUCCAAGCUCUCCUUGGUUUUGCCUUGGUGCCAUCAAGACAAAUGCAGCAGGAGACAACACUGAGAUGGUCUCUCGGAAUGAAGCGGCAUAGGUUCUCCUGAGAGAAGUCGGAAGUUGCAGCUUAACCAUAUUCCCUUCACACAAGGCCUGCUCUUCGGGUGACUUCUGAAGAGCACUGCCUGACUUCAAUACCCACGGUCACCUUCCCUUCCAACUGAGGAGUGUGAGACAGAAGGCUGCUGGAAAAUGUAAAGAAAAAAAAAAGGCAUAGCGGCAGGUUCAUCCUUGCAACGACGCUUGCUGGAGUCUCCUUGUUAGAAGAGCAGAAUGUUCCAGAAAUGCAGCAAAGCAGAGCCUGAGCUGAGUCUUCAGGCAUCAGCAGCCUAGUGAAGAAGACAUGUGGCCCAACAGAUAGGUGUGCAGCAAUAAUUAAAGACCUGGUAUCUGGCCAUAGACCUUGGCGGGCCUGUGGUAUGCCUGGAGUCUAGGGAUAAGAACAGCCGCACGUGUGCAUGCAAGUCACCGGGAGCCCUACUGGCCUGUUUUCUAAGUGGAUCAGGCUC
rnacentral:lncRNA from 1 species